AGCUUGAGGAAUAAGGAGGUGAAAGAUGCAUUCAGAAGAAAAAUUGAGAGGAAAAAAUUUAUUAUAGGUUGAAUCAGAGAAAUGGACUAUAGAAAUCAAACUUUGGUUACUGAAUUUUUUUCCGUGGGAUUAACAAAUCUCUUUCAGCACAAGAUUGCUCUCUUUCUGAUGUUGACUGAUAUCUUCGUGGAGAAAAAAGUGGGUGCCCUGGGAGUACUCAGUGGUGUGAUCAUCUUGGUCUCCUACAUUUACAUUGUCAUUGCCAUCCUGAGAAUUCGCUCUGCUGACGCGAGACGCAAAGACUUCUCCACUUGCUC
rnacentral:lncRNA from 1 species